CAACUACUCCCUCUAUCCCAAAUUUCUUGUCUUAGAUUUGUCUAGAUAUGGAUGUAUCUAAUACUAAAAUGUGACUUGAUACAUCCAUAUCUAGACAAAUCUAAGACAAGAAUUUUGGGAUGGAGGGAGUAAUUU
rnacentral:pre_miRNA from 1 species